CUGCCGUGGAUUCAACGGCUCGUCUGAAAUGCCUGAGUGUACCCCGCCUUGCGGCGUAUUCGGUGUGAUACAUCUUCACCGGAGUUGAUCUUUUUUGAAUCGCGUCUGUUUGGUGUGGCUCUAUGCUUCCAACAGUCCCUUCAUGGGACAAUCUCUGACAAUUUGACCUCAAAUCGGGUGGGACUACCCGCUGAACUUAA
rnacentral:misc_RNA from 1 species